rnacentral:rRNA from 1 species
AUUGAACGCUGGCGGCAUGCUUUACACAUGCAAGUCGAACGGCAGCGCGGGCUUCGGCCUGGCGGCGAGUGGCGAACGGGUGAGUAAUGCAUCGGAACGUGCCCAGUAGUGGGGGAUAGCCCGGCGAAAGCCGGAUUAAUACCGCAUACGACCUGUGGGUGAAAGCGGGGGACCGAAAGGCCUCGCGCUAUUGGAGCGGCCGAUGUCGGAUUAGCUAGUUGGUGGGGUAAAGGCUUACCAAGGCGACGAUCCGUAGCUGGUCUGAGAGGACGACCAGCCACACUGGGACUGAGACACGGCCCAGACUCCUACGGGAGGCAGCAGUGGGGAAUUUUGGACAAUGGGGGCAACCCUGAUCCAGCCAUGCCGCGUGCGGGAAGAAGGCCUUCGGGUUGUAAACCGCUUUUGUUCGGGAAGAAAUCCUCUGGGCUAAUACCCCGGGGGGAUGACGGUACCGGAAGAAUAAGCACCGGCUAACUACGU